UACGUAGGGUGCAAGCGUUUGUCCGGAAUUAUUGGGCGUAAAGAGCUCGUAGGCGGUUUGUCGCGUCGGCUGUGAAAACUCGGGGGCUCAACCCCGAGCCUGCAGUCGAUACGGGCAAACUAGAGUGUGGUAGGGGGAGACUGGAAUUCCUGGUGUAGCGGUGAAAUGCGCAGAUAUCAGGAGGAACACCGGCGGCGAAGGCGGGUCUCUGGGACGGUACUGACGCUGAGGCGCGAAAGUGUGGGGGAGCGAACAGG
rnacentral:rRNA from 1 species